CGGGGCGUGGGCCAGGUGGAGUGGCCGCGAGUUUCGGGAACUCGAGAGCGCGGGUUCGACUCCCGCCGCCCCGA
rnacentral:tRNA from 1 species